rnacentral:tRNA from 1 species
GGGGUACCUUAGCUCAGCUGGGAGAGCGCCUGCUUUGCACGCAGGAGGUCAGCGGUUCGAGCCCGCUAGGCUCCACCA